UACGUAGGGGGCAAGCGUUAUCCGGAUUUACUGGGUGUAAAGGGAGUGUAGGUGGUUUUGCAAGUCUGAUGUGAAAGCCCGGGGCUUAACCCCGUGGAUUGCAUUGGAAACUGUAGAACUAGAGUGUUGGAGAGGCAAGUGGAAUUCCUAGUGUAGCGGUGAAAUGCGUAGAUAUUAGGAGGAACACCAGUGGCGAAGGCGGCUUGCUGGACAAUCACUGACACUGAGGCUCGAAAGCGUGGGGAGCAAA
rnacentral:rRNA from 1 species